CUGGUCUAAUAAAAGGGAAAACCUCACCCUGUGGAUUUUGCUUUGCUGCUGAAUGCGAGGAUGAAAUACGUCAAGUGAAUAAUACUUAUUUUCCAAAGCUGUAAGGGACUGAAAGGGGGCUCUGACUCAAACCUGCUGGUUCAAGGGCUUCAGAGACAGAGCCCAGGAGGGGCCCUGGACACUGAGGUCCUGCCUGCUGGCUCCUGCUCACGUCACCGAGGCACAUCCUCCCACAUCAGUCCCAUCAGCUGUGCCAGUGUCACCGGCAGCAGAGCUGCACAGCAGUGCCUGAGCUGAGCCACCUAAUUGAAAGGCCUUUUCAUGGAGUGCAGUGACCUGCCCUGGAGGGCUCUCCCUGGCCUGUGGUUUCAUGCUCUGCAGUCUCAUCCAAGACAACUGCAUUUGGGAUUUCUCUUCCAGCCUAUUUCCUACCGAGUAAUUUGGACCUGAUCCUGCAUCCUUAAUCCUGAAGCUCCACCACAUGUGCUGGAGGGAUUCUAGGGACAAGGCUGUUCUUACAGGAGUGGAGGCACCAGAGCUGCAGGGGAGAGGCUGCCUGGAAAGUCAAAACAGGGCAGAAAGCAUCAGCUGUUCCAGGAAAUAACCUGUCUUUGCACAUUUCCUCAUGUUCAGGCUUCACUAUUAUGAAUGCAAGCACUGUGAUGAGAGAAGAGGAAAAUAAAACCAUCCUCCAUUUUGCUGAGUGCCAGCAGUGUGAACAAAAAUAUAAGGUGCUUCAGGGCAGGAAGAAACUGUGAAGAAAUAGGUUUUUGAAUUCCAUUUGUCUCGGAUUGUCUGAAAAUUGUCUCAAGAGCUGCCUUCUGGAGACAGCUGCCCUGCUCUGAGAGAGGGCAGAGACGUGUGUGGGGGUCUCAGACUGGGACAGGACUCAGGGUGCAGCUGCCUCUGAUUGUGCUCAGGUCUCAGCAAUGCCAGGCUCUCAAGGAGGACAAGGAGAGGUCAGCUGUGCAGUGGAAAGGCUCCAUGAAGCUCUUCCUUCCAUAGGAGCAUCAUCUUCUGCAGCAGACAUCCUGGCUGGCCAGGACCAGGCCUGGCAGGCAGCAAGGUGGAAGAGGAGAGGCUCCCUUCCUGCUGGUCACCUGAAGUCAUGGCAAUUGUGUGCUGCCCCUGUGCUCAAGGAAGACACACAGAAGGACCUGAGUCUGUGCUGAGGUGUUCAUGAGGUACCCAACCACUCCUCUGGUGCUUCCGAGACUCCCAGGCCACCAGCAGCCAGAGGGAUCCAUGCAUGGAAGCUCAGAAAAGUAGGAUAUUGCCCUUAAGAUGUGACAUCCCAAGGGGUGAUGUCCCUGGGGUGAGGAUGAUGUGUGGAUCUCUGCUCAUGCACCCACAGCAGGUAUCUCCUGCAGGUGUUGAACACCACAAGUGGUUGUGGCUGCCUCACCUUGGCUGUGCAUGUUCUGCACAGGGGCUGGUGUUUAUUAAUGGUAUUUAUUAAUUUAUUAUUCAGCUCUGGCAAGAGCUGCUGGAACCAACAUGGAGCUCCAACUGCUGUUCCUGCCUGUCCUUCAUCACUCAUGCUCACAUCUUUCUCAGGCUCACUCUCUUUGGGUUGAAAUUUUCCAUGCUUUGUCUUAGCCCAGUGACACAUUUUUGCCGAAGGUAUGGACAGUGCUCAUUGGAGUCCUCUUUGUAGGGCUCCUUGCUAAUCUCUGCCUUGUGGUAAAGGUCCAUCUUUCAUGUCUCAGGAGACAUCAGGCUGAAGAAAAUCCUUAGAUCCUCCUUUAUUUACUUGUUUAUUAUUUGAAAAAGUUAUUUAAAAUCUUACA